GAUGAACGCUGGCGGCGUGCCUAAUACAUGCAAGUCGAGCGAACAGACGAGGAGCUUGCUCCUCUUACGUUAGCGGCGGACGGGUGAGUAACACGUGGAUAACCUACCUAUAAGACUGGGAUAACUUCGGGAAACCGGAGCUAAUACCGGAUAAUAUAUUGAACCGCAUGGUUCAAUAGUGAAAGACGGUUUUGCUGUCACUUAUAGAUGGAUCCGCGCCGCAUUAGCUAGUUGGUAAGGUAACGGCUUACCAAGGCAACGAUGCGUAGCCGACCUGAGAGGGUGAUCGGCCACACUGGAACUGAGACACGGUCCAGACUCCUACGGGAGGCAGCAGUAGGGAAUAUUCCGCAAUGGGCGAAAGCUUGACGGAGCAACGCCGCGUGAGUGAUGAAGGUCUUCGGAUCGUAAAGCUCUGUUAUUAGGGAAGAACAAAUGUGUAAGUAACUAUGCACGUCUUGACGGUACCUAAUCAGAAAGCCACGGCUAACUACGUG
rnacentral:rRNA from 1 species